rnacentral:rRNA from 1 species
CUUGGCGGCCAUAGCGCGGUGGUCCCACCUGAUCCCAUGCCGAACUCAGAAGUGAAACGCCGUAGCGCCGAUGGUAGUGUGGGG